CCGAAUUCGUCCACUUCAGAGUUUGAUCCUGGCUCAGGACAAACGCUGGCGGCGUGCUUAACACAUGCAAGUCGAACGGUCUUUCCUUCGGGAAAGAUAGUGGCGGACGGGUGAGUAACACGUAGUUGACCUGCCCCUUUGUGGGGAAUAACUGCCCGAAAGGGUAGCUAAUACCGCAUAAGCUCUGUGUUGUUGGACAUAGAGGAAACUUUUGGCUUCGGCCAGGAGGCGAAGGGAGGGGACUGCGGCGGAUUAUCUAGUAGGUGAGGUAAAGGCUCACCUACGACGACGAUCCGUCAGCUGGCCGUGACAGGAACGACACAACCACACUGCGCACUGAACUGAGACACGACCCCUACUCCUAGGGGAGGGAGGAAUGUGCAUAUGGACAAUGGGCGAAGACUGAUGCAGCGACGCCGCGUGACCACGGGCCCUUUGGCGUGUAACUCCUUUUCUUUGGGAUGCACGCUCCCUCCCCCUUCCUCUUCUCUUUCUCUUAGAUACGUAGUAUCACUAGUAUCAGCUAGUAUCAGUAGAUCAGCGGGGAAGAAGAAGGACGAGAGGAGCUAAAAGACCAAGGAAAAGCCCGCUACUACUGCCGCGCGCGGAUACUAGGAGGAGGGUGCGGAUUAUGGCGUAAGGGGGGGGGACUCAGUUGGGGAACUCUGGUCACGGAGUGGUGGAAUGGAGUAAGACGUAAGGGGGAUUUGGGUAGGGAUGCAGAAUGCGGACCCCGGAAAGGCCCUGCCGAAUACUCCCCCUUGGGGGGAAAUCCGAGU
rnacentral:rRNA from 1 species